ensembl:snoRNA SNORA72 Small nucleolar RNA SNORA72
CUGCAAAUAUUCUCGCUGUUCUGAUUGUGUCAUAAUCAGGGCAGGCUAAACAUUUGCUAUAGUAAGACCAUGCAUGUGUCCCCAGACCUUGAUCUUUCCCUAGGUCUGGUUUUAUAAAUGCUGCUGAUAAAU